rnacentral:rRNA from 1 species
UACGGAGGGUGCGAGCGUUAAUCGGAAUGACUGGGCGUAAAGGGUGCGUAGGCGGUUGAUUAAGUUAUCUGUGAAAUUCCUGGGCUUAACCUGGGGAUGUCAGAUGAGACUGAUUGACUUGAGUAUGGGAGAGGGCAGUGGAAUUUCCGGUGUAGCGGUGAAAUGCGUAGAGAUCGGAAGGAACACCGGUGGCGAAGGCGGCUGUCUGGCCUAAUACUGACGCUGAGGCACGAGAGCGUGGGGAGCAAACAGG